AUAUGUUCUAAAUAAAACAUAGUAACAUCAUUUUGUUCGAUCUUUUUUUUAUAGUCAUUUUGUUCUUCCUGUUUUGUUACAAGUUGAGUGGUAUCAUUUCUAUUGACUUUUGACUUUAAAAAAUGAGAGUUAUCUAUUUUUUUUUUAUUUAUAUUAUCCUUUUUCAUACAUUCAUCUAAAGUAGUCGAUUGGUUUUUUUCGAUCUUAUCUGUUUUUGCUUCAUUAUUUAAAUUUGAUGCAUUUUCAUUUAAAUUUGAGGCAUUUUCAUUUAAAUUUGAGGAAUUUCUAUUUAAAUUUGAUGUAUUUACUUUUUUAUUUAAAUUUAUAUUAUUAUUUUCAGUAGUUUCGGAUUGAUUCUUAUGAUUAUUAUUAAGAAUGCGCAUUUUUUUUUUUUUUUUUUUAUUGUUACAAUUCACAUUUUAUUUUUAUCUUUUUUGUAUAGUUUUAGUCUUUCUCGUUAAUUAUAUUUGCGUGUGUGUAUGUGUGUGUUGGAGGGAAUAGCAAAAAAUUAUAUAAUUUUUAUUAUAUGGUGAAGAUAUUGUAUCUGUAUUGUGAACGAACGAGUAUGUAUAUAUAUAUAUAUAUAUACAUACGUUUGAUCUAUAUUAGUUGUAUAUUACCAAAUUAAAUACGGAUGUUAUUUUAUUUAUUCUUUUUUAAUAUAUUAGAGAUUAUUAAAUAUUUUAUUUAUUUUUGUAAAUUUGUUCAAAUGUAAAAAAAAAAAAAAAAAAAAAAAAAAAAAAAAAAAAAAAAAAAGGUAAUAAUAAUAAUUGUUCUGUUUUUUUUUUUAAUUAGUUCAGUUUGUUUUGUUUUAUUUUUAAUUAGUUCAGUUUGUUUUGUUUUAUUUUUAAUUAGUUCAGUUUGUUUUGUUUUAUUUUUAGUUAGUUCAGUUUGUUUUGUUUUAUUUUUAAUUAGUUCAUCUUGUUUUGUUUUAUUUUUAAUUAGUUCAUCUUGUUUUGUUUUUAAGUGAUAAACUUGUUUUGUUUGGUCUUUUUGCGAUGUAAUGCUUUGUUUUGUUCUGUCUUGCCUUUUUCUUUGUUUUCUUUGUUUUAAUUUUUUUGUUAUUUUUUAUUUUCUUUGAGUUUUUAAUUAAUUUUUUAUAUAUUGUUUUAAUUUUUUUUUUUAUAAAUUUUUUUUCCCUUUUUUAUUUACAAUAUCAUUUUUUUGCAGAUAUAUUUUUGUCACACAUAUUCUAAAUGUUUUAUAUGUUUUAAAUGUUU
rnacentral:lncRNA from 1 species